rnacentral:lncRNA from 1 species
UCUCAAACAUAAGGAAAUCUUGCUAAUAUGGAGAAAGAUAGAUGAUUCAAAAAGGGUUCAAGACUUGAAGAAGCACUAGGAACCUUGGAUAAUCUUAUUUUCUCAUCUUCAUCAAUAGUUUUCUAGCAAAAAUUGAGAUUAGUGGACGGCUUUGGAAAAAUAUGUUCAAGUGGUUAUCAAGAACGCAAGCUUUUGUGAUUUAAAGUUGGUGUUGUUUCAAGUUUCAAACAAGACAUAUGUAAUGUAAACUAUGGUUUCGAAUCAAAUGUAUGGAUGAACAUCUUUUAUGU